UGCAUACCACGUGUGACUGUGUUGAG
rnacentral:piRNA from 2 species